rnacentral:lncRNA from 1 species
GUAGUAAUGAGUGGUUUUAAUAUUUGCCUUGUCGAGAGGAGAAUAUGUUUGUCAUCAAGCACUUGAAUCCUUUCCCCAGGUCACUACAGGAAAAGAUAUCUUCAUUAAAGUGCAACAGCACACUGAGAGCAACACACCACCACAGCAGUUAAUUUUGGAAAGGCCACUGUAAGCUCCACUAGUGACUGACAUUUUACAGAUGACAGAUUGGAGCAAGCAGCAACAUUGAAUGCUUUAUCAGGGCAAUUGCUGAAGGUUUCUCUCUGGAUCUGGAUGAAUCAUAAAUUUGGGCAACUCUGUAAAUUCUUGGAAAAGCCUAUGUGGUAUCUGAGGUAAUCUUUUCUACCUGAUUCCAUGCCACUGGUCUCCAUUCCUGGGAAGAGAUUCAGCACCAGCAGCACAUACCACUGUGAGGGCAAGUACAAAAUACCUGCUUUUAGUAGAUGAUAUAGUUCUUCUGUAAAACUUCAUUUCCAAAAAAAGGACUAUCAUCCUGUUAAAUCUGUGGACUAGAGAUCCUUGUUACAUGCCCAGGAUUACCUAUUUUAAGUAUAACUUUGUUGGAUGCCUAGUGACAUGCUUUGGCUGUGUCUCCACCCAAACCUCAUCUUGAAUUAUAGCUCCUAUAAUUCCCAUACGUUGUGAGAGGGACCUGGUGGGAGAUAAUUGAAUCAUGGGGGCAGUUUCCCCAAUAUUGUUCUCCUGGCAGUGAAUAAGUCUCAAUAGUUCUGAUGGUUUUAUACAGGGAAACCUGUUUCACUUGCUUCUCUCAUUCUCUCAUAUCUGCUGCCAAGUAAGAUGUGCCUUUUGCCUUCUGACAUGAUUGAGAGGCCUCCCCAGCAAUGUGGAAUGUGAGUCCAUUAAACAUCUUUUUCUUUAUGCAUUACCCUGUCUUGGGUAUCUCUUUACUAGCAGUGUAAAAAUGGACUAAUACACUAAAUUGGUACAGGUAGAGUCAAGUGCUCCUGUAAAGAUACCCAAAAAUGUGGAAGCAACUUUGGAACUGGGUAACAGGCAGAGGUUGGAACAGUUUGGAGGGCUUGGAAGAAGACAGGAAAAUGUGGGAAAGUUUGGAACUUCCUAGAGACUAGUUGAAUGGCCUUGAGCAAAAUGCUGAUGAUGAUAUGAACAAUGAAAUCCAGACUGAGGUGGUCUCGGACAGAGAUGAGGAACUUGUUGAGAACUGGAGUAAAGGUGACUCUUGUUAUGUUUUAGCAAAGAGACUGGUGAGUUUUGGGCCCUGUCCUAGAGAUUUGUGAAACUUUGAACUUGAGGGAGAUGAUUUAGGGUAUCUUGUGGAAGAAAUUUUUAAGCACCAAGCAUUCAAAAUGUGACUUGGGUGCUGUUAAAAGCAUUUAGUUAAAAAAAAAAGACAAGAGAACAUAAAAGUUCAAAAAAUUUGCAGCCUGACAAUGUGAUAGAAAAGAAAAACCCAUUUUCUGAGGAGAAAUUCAAACCAGCUGCAAAAAUUUAUAUAAGUAGAGUAGCCAAAUGUUAAUCACCAAGACAAUGGGGAAAAUGUCUCCAGAACAUGUCAGAGGUCUUCAUGGCAGCCCCUCCCAUCACAGGCCAGAAGGCCUAGGAGGACAAAAUGGUUUAGUGGGCCAGGCCCAGAGCCCUCCUGCUUUGUGCAUCCUAAGGACUUGGUGCCUUGUGU